UACGUAGGCAGCAAGCGUUGUUCGGAGUUACUGGGCGUAAAGAGUGUGUAGGCGGUGCUCUAAGUCUGUUGUGAAAUCUCCCGGCUUAACCGGGAGGGUGCGGCGGAAACUGGAGUGCUUGAGGGUGGGAGAGGUAAGCGGAAUUCCUGGUGUAGCGGUGAAAUGCGUAGAUAUCAGGAGGAACACCUGUGGUGUAGACAGCUUACUGGACCACUUCUGACGCUGAGACACGAAAGCGUGGGUAGCAAACAGG
rnacentral:rRNA from 1 species